rnacentral:rRNA from 1 species
CCUACGGGGGGCAGCAGUGGGGAAUAUUGGACAAUGGGGGGAACCCUGAUCCAGCCAUGCCGCGUGUGUGAAGAAGGCCCUCGGGUUGUAAAGCACUUUCAGUGAGGAAGAACGCCUGGUGGUUAAUACCCAUCAGGAAAGACAUCACUCACAGAAGAAGCACCGGCUAACUCCGUGCCAGCAGCCGCGGUAAUACGGAGGGUGCGAGCGUUAAUCGGAAUUACUGGGCGUAAAGCGCGCGUAGGUGGCUUGAUAAGCCGGUUGUGAAAGCCCCGGGCUCAACCUGGGAACGGCAUCCGGAACUGUCAAGCUAGAGUGCAGUAGAGGAAGGUAGAAUUCCCGGUGUAGCGGUGAAAUGCGUAGAGAUCGGGAGGAAUACCAGUGGCGAAGGCGGCCUUCUGGACUGACACUGACACUGAGGUGCGAAAGCGUGGGUAGCAAACAGGAUUAGAUACCCGGGUAGUC